GAUGAACGCUGGCGGCGUGCCUAACACAUGCAAGUCGAACGGGGUUAAAGAGAAAUUUUCGGAUGGAUCUUUAACUUAGUGGCGGACGGGUGAGUAACGCGUGGAUAACCUGCCUCGCACAGGGGGAUAGCAGCUGGAAACGGCUGGUAAUACCGCAUAAGACCACGGUCCCGCAUGGGACUGAGGUAAAAGAUUUAUCGGUGCGAGAUGGAUCCGCGUCUGAUUAGCUUGUUGGCGGGGUAACGGCCCACCAAGGCAACGAUCAGUAGCCGGCCUGAGAGGGUGAACGGCCACAUUGGGACUGAGACACGGCCCAA
rnacentral:rRNA from 1 species